GUCUUUUCUGGCAGAUUACUUCUGUGAGCAACUGGGUCUCUCAGCUCUUUGGGAGCACCCUGGGAAACAGUGUGGCUACGACUUGGAGCUGCUCACCAGUUCCAGUCAUUCUGUGGUUGAGAGCUGCUCCCUAUGGAUGUUAAUUCUUCUCCAUUUUAGAUUUUCCACAGGUGUGGGCCCCAUUAGCUCUGGCCACCUGAGAAAGCCCUCAGGCAAAGAGUCACAGGUGAAAGCCAGCAGUUAGAGGUUCACAGAAAUGAGUGCAGAAGCAUCUUCAGUUGGAGAGCCAUUGCCUCUUGCUGUGCAAUAUUUGGGAAUCUUCAGAAACCAUGCAGAAUAACCUGCUAAAGGGUUUUAUUUUGUCACUCAAGCUGGAAUGCAGUGGUGUGAACAUUGCUUCCUGCAGCUUCAGUCUCCUGAGGUCAAUCUUCUCACCUCAGCCUCGCAAGCAGCUAGGACUACAGGCAUGUGCCACCAUGCCCCACUAAUUUUUUAAUUUUUCUUUUGUGGAGAUGCAGUCUUGUUAUCUUGAACAGGCUUGUUAUCUUGUUAUCUUGUUAUAUUGAACAGGUUUGUUAUCUUGAACUCUUGGAGUCAAGCAAUCCUUCUGCCUCAGACUCUCAAAGUGCUGGGAUUACAGGCAUGAGCCACCACAUUCAGCCAGGAAAAGUUUUUGUACAUUUAAAAAAUUACAGGAUAUUUGUGUAUAUAGCUUUGCUGGUUUGACUUCCUAGAAUAGCUCCCAGGAACACAAAGUACUUAAUUGAUUAGCAUAAAAUGAUUAUGUCAUACUCACAUGUUGGUU
rnacentral:lncRNA from 1 species